ACCAGUGUGGUGUAGUGGUUUGAAUACUGGAUUAUGACUCUGGAGACUAGGGUUCAAAUCCCAGCUUGGCCA